GAAGCAGCAAGGAACCCAGGGAUACAGGCCCCAAGAAACUACAAUUGGACUACAGUUGGACCCUAGGUGGAAAACAAAGGCUCCACCAAUACCCCCGUCAUGGGCACUGGAGACCCAAUUGCCCUGAUGAAGACAAGUCAGACCACGCUUCAGCACAGGGCGACUCUGAUUAACCCAAGUGUGUCUCCACAUAAGUCUUCACAGGCACAGAUAUACUCGGGAGAUAUUUUUCCACAGACCCCUCAGUCCAAAUAUUAAACAAAGAAAUAAAGCAGAAAUAAAGCUUUAUUCCAAGACACCACCAAACUCCUACAGGGUCACAGAAUAAAAAGGCCUUUCCCGUCACAUUCACAAUCGGCCACAAAAGCACCAUCAUAAGAUACACGGUCUCAAACAUCACAGUGUCACAUCGCGCAGAGCCGACCAGUCGCCCAAAAGCUUUGGGAUCCGAGCACAAUCCUCGCCUCAUCAAGGUCACAAACGCACCUCUCCCCCCCUCACCCAUCUAGCUACACACACGUAUAGUGCAUACACAGGCCUGAGCUCCCGGCUCCACACACUCCGCCCGCAGCCGGAGGUUUGGGGAUGGCUCUCGCCUCUGGCACCCAGACUCGGAUCACCCUAACACGAAGCGGAGCCAGACGACUAUAAGGACUUCUGAAAGGAACCAGAGGUGAAAGUUCAAACGUGAUAUAGGGGCUUGUGGGUGGAGUAGUCCAAGAUCGGAAAAGCCCGGAUGUGGAGAAGGCGCUGGGAGCCCGCCAGCCCCAAAAACCGCUCCGCUUUUGACCAGCGCCGCGGAGACACCUGGGAGGUCCGGCCCGCGCGAGAGUGCGCAGGCGCAGAAGGUUGGCCAGUUCCUGAAGGAACCACCCCUUUUCUAAAGAGGAACACAAAGGAGGACUGGUCAUCUCUUGCAAAUCUCAAAAUGGCUCAGUUCCAAUCCAUUACAGGGAUCAGUGUCAUUCAAAGAUGUGACUGUGGACUUUACCCAGGAAGAGUGGCAGCAUCUGGAUCCUGCUCAGAAGACUCUAUACAUGGAUGUGAUGUUGGAAAACUAUUGCCACCUCAUCUCUGUGGGUAAGAAAAAUUCCCUUUGAAACUUGUUUUGCAGGGAUUAGACUUUUUGUACUUUAUUUAAUUUGGGCUUCACAGCAACAGAGUGAAGUAGAGAGAAAUGUCCCUUUUUAAGAAAUUAUUAGAGAAGUUAUGGUUUUACAUAAUAAUCAUGCAUACAAUACAAGAUACCCAUAUACCACCCUAUUAUUAACACCUCACAUUGGUAUGGCACAUUUAUUACAAUUGAUGAAAGCACAUUUUUAUCAUUGUACUAUUAACAUAGUCCAUGGUUUAACUUGUGUUGUUCAGUUCCACGAAUUUUUAAAAAUAUUUAUUCUACUAACAUAUAUACAAGCUAGAAUUCCUCCCUUUUAACUACAUUCACAUAUAUAAUUCAGUGCUGUUAAUUACAUUCAGUUUUGUGCUCCCUUCACCAACAGCCAUUACCAAAACUUUUCCGUCAACCCAGAUGGAAACUCUUGUACAAUUUAAGCAUUCAUUCCCCAUUCCCUACCCCAUCCUGACCCUGAUAGCCUAUAUUCUAGAUUCUGACUCUGAGUUUUUAAAUUCUAAUUUCAUAUCAGUGAGAUUGUACAAUAUUUGUCCUUGGGUGUCUGGCUUAUUUUACUCAACAUAAUGUCUUCAGGGUUCAUCCAGGUUGUCAUAUGCAUCAGAACUUCAUUCCUUUUUACAACUGAAAAAACUCCUUUUGUGUUUAUAUACCACAUUUUGUGUAUCCCUUUAUCCGUUGAUGGACACUUGGGUUGCUUCCAUCUUUUGGCAAUUUUGAAUAAUUCCACUCUGAACAUCAAUGUGAAAAUAUCUGUUCAAAUCCUUGCUUUCAAUUCUUUUGGCUAUCCCUUGAAGUGGGAUAAUUCCGUACUUAACUUUCUGAGGAACUGCCAAACUGUCUUCCAGUGAGUGCACCAUUUUAUAUUUCCACCAGCAGUGAAUGAGUGCUCCUCUUUCUCCACAUCCUGUCCGACAGUAAUUUUCCAUUUGUUUAAUAGCCAUUCUAGUGGGUGUGAAAUGGCAUCUCAUUGUUUUGAUUUGCAUUUCCAUAAUGGCUGAUGAUUUUGAGCAUCUUUUCUUGUGCUCUUGGCCAUUUAUAUAUCUUCUUUGGAGAAAUGUCUAUUCAGGUCUUUUGCCCAUUUUUUAAUGGUAUUGUUUUGACUUUUUGUUGUUGAGUUGAAGGAUUUCUUUGUAAUAUUUUGGAUAUUAUACCCUUAUCAGAUAUGUGGUUUCCAAAUAUUUUCUACCAUCAUCUAGGCUUUCUUUUUACUUUGAUGAUAAAGUUCUCUGAUGCACAAAGGUCUUUAAUUUUGGUGAGGUCCCAUUUAUCUAUUUUUUCUUUUGUUGCUUAUGCUUUCAGUAUAAAGUCUAAGAAACCAUUGCCUAAUACAAGAUCCUGAAGAUGCAGCCCUUGUUUUUUCCUAGGGUUCUAUAGUUCUGGCUCUUAUAUUUAGGUCUUUGAUCUAUUUUUUGAGUCUAGCUAAUGGUUUAUCAAUUCUAUUGAUCUUUUCAAAGGAUAAACUUUUGGUUUUGUUGAUUCUCUCUAUUGUUUUCAUUCUGUAUUUCAUUUAUCUCCCCUUUAAUAUUUAAUGUAUUUCCAUUCACAAUGUCUAAAUUAUGUG
rnacentral:lncRNA from 1 species